UCCUGUGUGACCAAGUUGCAUGUGU
rnacentral:piRNA from 1 species